UGGGGGUCAAGUAGCAGGGCUGCCCAGGUGAUGUAGCAGGGCUGCCCAGGUGAUGUAGUAGGGCUGCCCAGGUGAUGGUGGGGGUCAAGUAGCAGGGCUGCGUCCUGAUGGUGGGGGUCAAGUAGCAGGGCUGCGUCCUGAUGGUGGGGGUAAAGUAGCAGGGCUGCGUCCUGAUGGUGGGGGUAAAGUAGCAGGGCUGCCUAGUGUCAUCACCCAUAAUAUAAGUGU